rnacentral:rRNA from 1 species
UACAGAGGUCCCAAGCGUUGUUCGGAUUUACUGGGCGUAAAGGGUGCGUAGGUGGUGAGGUAAGUCUGAUGUGAAAUCUCCGAGCUCAACUCGGAAAUGGCAUUGGAAACUACCUUGCUAGAGGGUUGGAGGGGGGACUGGAAUACUUGGUGUAGCAGUGAAAUGCGUAGAUAUCAAGUGGAACACCAGUGGCGAAGGCGAGUCCCUGGACAACUCCUGCCACUGAGGCACGAAAGCUAGGGGAGCAAACAGG